AAGGACAUGAGACGUGUCGUCCCCGUGUGCAGGAUAAUUGUCACAUCUCCACUAAGCGUCUGUCAGUGUCAUGUUUGAUUCGUCGAGGAGGGUAGAAAUGACAUCGCUGUAGACCGCUCCACAGGGAUUAUGGGAUAGAUCUUCUGAAGCGGAUGGCUGCGUGCAGAUCCUGACUCCGCCACCAGCGUGUAACUGCUGUCCUCGGCUCUCCCUCGACCUCUGGCCUGCGGAGAAGAUGAACGUUCAUCAGAGACCUCAAAUUGUGUUGCUGCAGCUGGUCGAGUUUGUGCUCCACUUCUCCAUAUGUGAUGUCACAGUCCAGAUCAUCGUCUUCUGUGCCGCGCUGCCCCGGCGUGGUCGUGUCCAUGUGCCGUUUGGUUCCAUCUGCUAACCAUCCAGUGACAUUGUAUCCAGGAGAAGAAUAACUUCACACGCACCGUGUUCAUGUCGAUGCCGUUGGUGUAUGUCCACGAGUGUUGGAAGUACUCCUCCAG